AAGUCAACCCCGAGGAAUCUUCUCAUCUCCCAGCGCGGGUAGGGAUAAGGAAACAGAGCAAAAGCAGAGAGAAGAGCUUCCCCCAAAUCCCCAUCUUUAUCCAUACCUGAAAAUGAGCUUGUCGUCACUAACUAGUGCGUGCAGUUCCUUGAAAUCAAGCUCAUUGGGCUCGAGCGUACAGUUACAGUUCCAAUUUAAUUGCUCUAAUGGAAGAUUUGUUUCCCCUCCCAAAAGAAGGAAGUUUGCUCUCAAAAAGCUAAAUGUGUCUUGCUCUUCUUCUUCCAAUCCACUCUUGGUUAAGGCUGCUAGGGGACAUGCUGUUAGUAGGCCUCCAGCUUGGAUGAUGCGACAAGCGGGAAGGUACAUGGCUGUUUACAGAAAGCUUGCUGAGAAACACCCAUCGUUCAGAGAGAGGUCAGAGACAACAGAUCUCAUUGUAGAAAUUUCUUUGCAACCUUGGGAAGCUUUCCGUCCUGAUGGCGUUAUCAUUUUCUCUGACAUACUUACCCCUCUACCAGCAUUUGGUGUCCCAUUUGACAUAGAAGAAGUGAGAGGUCCCAUCAUUCAGUCACCUAUCCGUUCUGAAGAGGGCUUGAUGGCAUUGCAUCCCAUUGACUUGGAGAAGUUGCAAUUUGUGGGGGACUCCCUUAAAAUUUUGCGACAGGAGGUUGGGGAGCAUGCUGCAAUUCUGGGUUUUGUUGGAGCACCUUGGACAAUUGCCACUUACAUUGUAGAAGGGGGAACAACUCGUACGUACACUACCAUAAAGAGUAUGUGCCAUACUGGGCCACAUGUAUUGAGAGCUCUUCUGUCUCAUCUAACACAAGCGAUAUCUGAGUAUGUCAUUUUCCAAGUGGAGUCUGGUGCCCAUUGCAUUCAAAUAUUUGAUUCAUGGGGUGGACAACUAACUCCAGACAUGUGGGAGCAUUGGUCAAAACCUUAUAUUGAAGAGAUUGUGCGUACGGUUAGAAAUAAAUGUCCUGAAACACCAAUUGUUCUCUACAUUAAUGGAAAUGGUGGCCUUCUUGAGCGUAUGAAAGGAACCGGAGUUGAUGUGAUUGGGCUUGACUGGACGGUAGACAUGGCAGAUGGAAGGAAGCGGUUAGGGAGCGGGAUUAGUGUGCAAGGAAAUGUGGAUCCUGCUUGCUUGUUUUCACCUCUUCCUGCAUUGACUGAUGAAAUUAGAAGGGUUGUUAAGUGUGCAGGGCCACAGGGACACAUUCUAAAUCUAGGUCAUGGUGUUCUAGUUGGGACACCUGAAGAAGCUGUUGCACAUUUCUUUGAAACGGCAAGAAGCUUGAAGUAUGAAGGUAUUUUCAAGAUGUAGUGGGAAAAACUGAAUUGGUUGCAUGAGGGCGUAAUGUUUAAGUAUCAGUCAUAUCAAAUUUUUAGAAAUUGGUUGUUGGCUGCAAGCUAACUUGAAGCUCAAGUGUUUUUACAGAUCUUGAUUCUUGCUAGUUGGAAUGUUGAAGAUAACAUUCAGGAAAAUUCCCAUGCAGUGAAGGGAAGGACUGAGGGAUUCUGUGAUACCUUCUUCUGACUAUGACUCAUCUCCCUCCUGGUGUAAGUACUUGGUUGUAGGGUUUGCUGGUGAUUUCUUGGCAUAAGGUACUGUUAGAAACAAACAUUGAUUCAGAACAGAAGAGGUUGAUGGGGAAAAUGUUGUCUCUCUUGUGGUUUGAAAAUCUAGGUUGCAAUUUAUGUUCUUUGUUUAAUUUAUUUUAAUAAUCAGGAGCUAGAUUCAGUGGUAGAAAAAAAAAAAGCAGAUUGGUUGAGAAGGAGCAAGAAAAUAUCCUCUCGCGAGAUGUGUUACUGAAAAAUGGUGGAAAAUUAGAUGUUUCAUGGACCAUAUUUCCAUUAUCAGUAUAGAUUGUUAAUCUUGUUAUUUACCCAAAAAUAUGUUCUACUUAGCUUAUGGGUACAAUGCGCAUAGUCAUUACUACAAAAUUAGUGAUUUGUGAACUACCCCAAAACACUGCUAUAGUCAAAUUUCUGCUGUGUGUUUUUGUAUCCUUACCAAAUGCAUUCUAAAUCUUAGUUCACGUGUU